UGCCUAACACAUGCAAGUCGAACGGUCACUUCGGUGAUAGUGGCGGACGGGUGAGUAACGCGUGAGAAUCUGCCUCUUGGUUGGGGACAACAGUUGGAAACGACUGCUAAUACCCAAUGUGCCGCAAGGUGAAAGAUUUAUUGCCAAGAGAGGAGCUCGCGUCUGAUUAGCUAGUUGGUAGUGUAAGGGACUACCAAGGCAUCGAUCAGUAGCUGGUCUGAGAGGAUGAGCAGCCACACUGGGACUGAGACACGGCCCAGACUCCUACGGGAGGCAGCAGUGGGGAAUUUUCCGCAAUGGGCGAAAGCCUGACGGAGCAAUACCGCGUGAGGGAGGAAGGCUCUUGGGUUGUAAACCUCUUUUCUUAGGGAAGAACACAAUGACGGUACCUAAGGAAUAAGCAUCGGCUAACUCCGUGCCAGCAGCCGCGGUAAUACGGAGGAUGCAAGCGUUAUCCGGAAUUAUUGGGCGUAAAGCGUCCGUAGGUGGUUUUUCAAGUCUGCUGUCAAAGACCGUGGCUUAACCACGGAAAGGCAGUGGAAACUGAGAGACUAGAGUUCGGUAGGGGUAGCGGGAAUUCCCAGUGUAGCGGUGAAAUGCGUAGAUAUUGGGAAGAACAUCGGUGGCGAAGGCGCGCUACUGGACCGAUACUGACAAUCAGAGGACGAAAGCUAGGGGAGCGAAAGGGAUCAGAUACCCCGGUAGUCCUAGCCGUAAACGAUGGAACCUAGGUGUGGCUAGUAUCGACCCGAGCAGUGCAGAAGAUCACGC
rnacentral:rRNA from 1 species